rnacentral:rRNA from 1 species
AUACGGAGGGGGCUAGCGUUGUUCGGAAUUACUGGGCGUAAAGCGCGCGUAGGCGGAUCGUUAAGUCAGGGGUGAAAGCCCGGAGCGCAACUCCGGAACUGCCCUUGAUACUGGCGAUCUCGAGUCCGGGAGAGGUGAGCGGAAUUCCUAGUGUAGAGGUGAAAUUCGUAGAUAUUAGGAGGAACACCAGUGGCGAAGGCGGCUCACUGGCCCGGUACUGACGCUGAGGUGCGAAAGCGUGUGGAGCAAACAGGAUUAGAAACCCUAGUAGUCC